rnacentral:rRNA from 1 species
UACGGAGGGUGCAAGCGUUAUCCGGAUUCACUGGGUUUAAAGGGUGCGUAGGAGGGCAGGUAAGUCAGUGGUGAAAUCCCCCGAGCUUAACUUGGGAACUGCCGUUGAUACUAUCUGUCUUGAAUAUUGUGGAGGUAAGCGGAAUAUGUCAUGUAGCGGUGAAAUGCUUAGAUAUGACAUAGAACACCAAUUGCGAAGGCAGCUUGCUACACAACUAUUGACUCUGAUGCACGAAAGCGUGGGGAUCAAACAGG